CCUACGGGGGGCUGCAGUGAGGAAUCUUCCGCAAUGGGCGAAAGCCUGACGGAGCGACGCCGCGUGGACGAUGAAGGCCGUGAGGUUGUAAAGUCCUUUUCGGGGGGGGGAAUGAGGUCCGCAGGGAAUGGCGGGCCGAUGACGUGAACCCCGGAAUAAGCCCCGGCUAACUACGUGCCAGCAGCCGCGGUAACACGUAGGGGGCGAGCGUUGUUCGGAAUCAUUGGGCGUAAAGGGCGCGCAGGCGGCGAGGCAAGUCCGGUGUGAAAGUGCUCGGCUCAACCGAGUGAUGCGCUGGAAACUGCCCUGCUUGAGUACAGGAGGGGACGGCGGAAUUCCAGGUGUAGGGGUGAAAUCUGUAGAUAUCUGGAAGAACACCGGUGGCGAAGGCGGACGUCUGGCCAUGUACUGACGCUGAGGCGCGAAGGUGCGGGGAGCGAACAGGCUUAGAUACCCCUGUAGUC
rnacentral:rRNA from 1 species